rfam:Cryptococcus bestiolae CBS 10118 unplaced genomic scaffold supercont1.1, whole genome shotgun sequence.
AACUCUGUAGCUCAGAGGAUAGAGCGCAAGGCUCAUAUCUUGAUUACAAGAUUGAUACCUUGAGGUCGCUGGAUCGAAACUAGCCAGAGUUA